rnacentral:rRNA from 1 species
UACGUAGGGCGCAAGCGUUGUCCGGAAUUAUUGGGCGUAAAGAGCUCGUAGGCGGCCUGUUACGUCUGCUGUGAAAUCCCGGGGCUUAGCCCCGGGCGUGCAGUGGAUACGGGCAGGCUGGAGGCAGGCAGGGGAGAACGGAAUUCCCGGUGUAGCGGUGAAAUGCGCAGAUAUCGGGAGGAACACCGGUGGCGAAGGCGGUUCUCUGGGCCUGUACUGACGCUGAGGAGCGAAAGCGUGGGGAGCGAACAGG